CAACGUGGAAAAUGGUCUCUUAAUAAUAUGUGAUGAUUCAUGCAUAAUCAUAGUAUUGUUGCACACAUGAACAAUUAAAACUUAAAGGACCUAAUAUAUAAAACUGACAACGACGAUUCAGUUAUUAACCAUGUUCUACAUCAAAUGGUGUCUAGGUAUGGUUCUUUUAAUUAUGCAUCCUUAUCUUUCAAAGGGUAAUGCAAGUCACAGCCUUUCAUCUUGUAAUGCGACUCAUAUACAAGUCGUCGAGAGUUGUCCAGAAUCCCAAAGAGCAUGGGAAGAACAAGCCAAGCUGAAGAAUUGUAGCUCGCUAACCCAACCAUGUAGAACACCAGACAAGCUCCAGUACCACUGUUUGGUUAACACGUUUUUGAAUGCAACCAUUUCGAUUUGCGCGACUCCGACUUUCAUAAACGGAUAUCGGUGUGCAGAAUACAAUUUAAGAGGAGAAAGCAUUCAGCCCAACUAUGACACAAAUUGUAGUUUGUACAACCCACCAUGUCCAUUCCGUUACGAUUCAAGGGAUGCAUUUCUUUAUCAGGGAUGUUACAAACUGAUUCAAAGGGACAAUAGCACGUUGAGUGAAAUAUUGUCUUUUGUAUCGACAACUGAGUCAAACAAAGAAAUGACCAGAACGUUUGCUGAAACAUUCUGGCCAAUAUUAUCAUUUGUGCUUGCCUUGACUGUUUUGACAGUUGUUUGUUUUGUUUUCCAAAAAUUCCGGAGAAUUGACUAUAACGGCAAGUAUUUGAUUAAUUUAUAAAAUAUUUUUCUAUGCCAUCUCGAUUUUUUUAUCCAGAAAAUCAAACUGAAGAGUUUUAAAAAAGUAUAAUUAUCUGUGUAUUACUACUUUUCUUCGAUUCAAGCUGUCCAACCUCCGCCAUUUGAAGAAGUUCAUAUAGCCCAUUGAAUCACAUCAAGAUGUGUUCACUUUUUCAUUGAGAGUCUAAAAUCAGGGAGAAUAAAAGGGUAGUUAAUGACAAACCAUCGUGUGAAUUUUGAAAGAUGCGUCCCUAUGCAUAACUGUUCUUAAUUGUUUUACAUAUCUAAUCGCUAUACUAUUUUUUACAUUUGUUUUGUCAUAUUUUCAGUGCUCACUUUGUUGUUUUUGAAUUAAUGUACUUUUUCAAAUUGCACUGUUAAUUGUUAGAAUAUAUUGUGCUUGUAUUGUAGAUAUUGUCAUUUUUUAAUCGGAUCAUUUGUAUGGCAAAUUGCAGAUAAAAGAACUAUAUUGAAUGUUGGGAUUGAUGUUAGACGUUUCAUAUUUUUAAUAUGAUUUUUUUGCAUUAUGUUACUAAAUGGCAUGUCAAUACUUCCAUUUGCUCAAUUGAACAAAACAAGAUCUUUGAAAACCAUUCUUAUUCGUUGAUCUCAGAUUCAGCAUAUCUUUUCCUCAA